GACGAACGCUGGCGGCGUGCCUAAUACAUGCAAGUAGAACGCUGAAACUUGGUGCUUGCACCGAGCGGAUGAGUUGCGAACGGGUGAGUAACGCGUAGGUAACCUGCCUGGUAGCGGGGGAUAACUAUUGGAAACGAUAGCUAAUACCGCAUAAGAGUAGAUGUUGCAUGACAUUUGCUUAAAAGGUGCAAUUGCACCACUACCAGAUGGACCUGCGUUGUAUUAGGUAGUUGGUGGGGUAACGGCUCACCAAGGCGACGAUACAUAGCCGACCUGAGAGGGUGAUCGGCCAAACUGGGACUGGGACACGGGCCAGACUCCUACGGGAGGCAGCAGUAGGGAAACUUCGGCAAUGGACGGAAGUCUGACCGAGCAACGCCGCGUGAGGGAAGGAGGGUUUCGGAUCGUAAAGCUCUGUUGUAAGGGAAGAACGAGUGUGAGAGUGGAAAGUUCACACUGUGACGGUAUCUUACCAGAAAGGGACGGCUAACUACGUG
rnacentral:rRNA from 1 species